GCAAUACAACGUGGUGGCGACCGGCGCACGGGUGAGUAACGCGUAUGCAACCUACCUAGUCAGAGGGGAAUAACCCGGCGAAAGUCGGACUAAUACCGCAUAAACAGGGGCACCGCAUGGUGAUAUUUGUUAAAGAAAUUCGCUGAUAGAUGGGCAUGCGUUCCAUUAGGUAGUUGGUGAGGUAACGGCUCACCAAGCCGACGAUGGAUAGGGGAACUGAGAGGUUGGUCCCCCACACUGGUACUGAGACACGGACCAGACUCCUACGGGAGGCAGCAGUGAGGAAUAUUGGUCAAUGGGCGAGAGCCUGAACCAGCCAAGUCGCGUGAAGGAAGAAGGAUCUAUGGUUCGUAAACUUCUUUUGCAGGGGAAUAAAGUGCGGGACGUGUCCUGUUUUGUAUGUACCCUGAGAAUAAGGAUCGGCUAACUCCGUGCCAGCCGCGGC
rnacentral:rRNA from 1 species